rnacentral:rRNA from 1 species
AAAGGAAUUGACGGGGGCCCGCACAAGCAGCGGAGCGUGUGGUUUAAUUCGAGGCUACACGAAGAACCUUACCUGGGUUUGACAUCACGGUGGUAGGGAACUGAAAAGGGACCGACCUUCGGGAGCCGUGACAGGUGCUGCAUGGCUGUCCUCAGCUCGUGUCGUGAGAUGUUCGGUUAAGUCCGAAAACGAGCGCAACCCUCGGGUCUAGUUACACGUGUCUAGACCGACUGCCCGGGAGAACCGGGAGGAAGGUGGGGAUGACGUCAAGUCAGCAUGGCCUUUAUAUCCAGGGCGACACACACGCUACAAUGGGCGGUACAAUGGGUCGCGAAGCCGCGAGGCGGAGCCAAUCCUAAAAAGCCGUUCGUAGUUCGGAUUGCAGGCUGCAACCCGCCUGCAUGAAGCCGGAGUUGCUAGUAACCGCGCGUCAGCUAUAGUGCGGUGAAUACGUUCUCGGGCCUUGUACACACCGCCCGU